ACGCGGGCCGGUCGCCGCGCCCAGCGCCAGAGGAGAUCGCGCUCGAAGACCUCCCCGUCCCGCCGACCGCGGGCGCUCAGGGAAAUCAUCCGUACCUGCGACGGCUGUAGGGAUGCUACGGCUGCUGUGUCAACACAAGACUUGUAUGGAACUCGAAAUAUACAAUGUGUGUUGUAUACAAACAUGAAUCCUGCAUCCAUCGUACGACUGUUCUCCAAACUUUUUAUGUGAUUUCUUAUACCUCAGUUGUUUGUGUGUUAUUUCGUGUUGGUUGACUGCAAUUAUACACUCGAAGCAAUGAGCGAGACUUGUUCCAAAUAAAAAUGCAUUUUUUGCUCUUAUGUGGGUCAUCCUGACCCAGUUUGGCCCGGUGAGAGGUCAGUGCUGCGGCCGCUCAUUGUUCGUGCUGUGAGUAAGAAAGUGUCAUUAUUUGGACAAUAUAAGUUUAUGAACCAUUCAUUUUUCUAAGUGUACGAUGUUCGUUCACAGCUACGCUUCCUCUGCCGCUGGACGCAGUGAACGAAUACGCUUUUAACUAUCUUUGUAAUUAUUUAUUUAUUGCUGACGCAUUUAAUUAAUCAUGACGCAUUAACUUAUGUUCUACGCAUCUGCCAAAGCGUGCCAAAGAUGAAUUCUUGUGCAUCGCACAAAUUGUACAAAUAAGAAGUGAAGUUAAACAGCUUAAAUGUUGCGCCGGUUUGUCCAUAUUUCGGCCUCCAUCGUCAAAAAUAUAUGAAAAAUUAUUGCCAUCAUAUUCUCUUUUCUUGUACCGCAAUCUUAGAAAUGAACUUGUUAAUUUGUUCUAUUUAAAUGCUGAGUGAAUAGCGUUAGCUUUUUUUUUUUUUUUGAGGCAAAGUUAUUAUUUCGUUUUCUAAAAUUGUUUUUCUAAAUGCAUCGUUUUAUGAACUUUCAGUUAGGUUGGCAUUGUCCGAGGCUAUUAGUUUUGUCUGCUUUAUGCUAAUAGUUUGUAAAUAUUUUAUUAUUGAGAUUAUCGACCUACUACAAUAAAUUGUAUCGUAGAUUUUGUGUUAUUAGCAAAUGAACUAAUAUUUCAUAUCUAGUUAUACAUUAUUCUCUAAGUUCUAAUCGUAAUGCUUUCCAUGUUGAUUCUUCUUAUAACUUUUCUACAAUUCUAAGUUUAAGUUAUCGCUAUUCUUAUUUUAUGCAUGUGAGGUUAUUUUCAACUUAACCCAUCUGCAAUUUCGCCAUUCAGCUUUUUUCGUGACAAUUUUCAUGUGAGCUUUAAAGUAUUUCCAUUAAUUCUAAAAAAAUUGUACUCCGCGUUAAACUUUGAGUCAUUUUGCGCUCUUUAGUUUUUCAGCCUCGAAGUCCAAUGACUCCGCAGGAUACAUGCCUUCCUCUUCAAUAGGAUAUUGUGUAAAACCAAUAUCUCGAAACACUUGUUAUGUUGUGGAUGUUCUGUACAUAGGAGCGCAGUGUACUGUAGUACAGUGGUACACGUAUAAUGGUCUUGGGUGCAGCUAAGUUAGGGGGUUCAAUACCCUGACAGUGUUGCAAACUUGCAAAAUUUCUCAUGUCCCUUUGUAAGAGACGUCGAAGGUGGUGCAUCAGCAUGGCCGUGAGCGGUGCCCAAAACAAUUGGGCAAUUUUAGGGUCUUAAGGCUUUAGUAAAGCUUAUAUGAGUUGCAUGGCUUUCCGCCCAUAUAAUUACCUGUCAAAUGUUUUGUAUGGUGUUGUGGUGAGAAAAUGUGAAAAAUAGGAUCUGAAUAUCUGGUGAAUAAUAGGCCAAUAACAUGUAUAAAACGUGUGUAUAUUAAGGCUGGUUCACCAAGGCUGGUUUUAGCUUGGCUGUGACUAGUACCGCUGGCUGCUUAUUUCUGGGACUUUAGCACUAGUGCUUGUAGUCUCGUCAUAGUCACGUCAUCGUAAGCAGGUAGCAAAUCGCUGCAAAUUCUUAAUAUUUGGUCCGCCAAUCAUCCCAUAUUAAUGGUCAAUCAGUAUUAUAUUGUAAUGCUGAUAAUUCCUUGAAUUUUUCAGCGUAUUCUGCCUGCCAGUCCCUUUUUUGUGCAUUAUUCCUAGAUAACGAAUAUUAACAUUAAUUCAGCAAUCACUUUCUAUUUAUGAGCUCAUGUUACCAACAUGUGACGUGAAACUUAAGACCAUCACAACUCGUUAUCUAAUUAAUGGUUAUUGUAAUUGCCUCACUCGUGCAUUCUCCAGGCUCAUGUCUGCUUCUCCUUCCACCAAAUUUAAUGUGGAAUCGCUGUUAAUUUCUUCAUUAUAAAUUAAACUUUUGGAAUCAAA